rnacentral:lncRNA from 1 species
GGAGGAGUACGGUCGUAGUAGGUGGCUGACAAGGGCAGACCUUGAGCAUCAGGAUUUUCCUAGGUCGGAGGUCUCAAGGUCGGAUGUCUUGAGGUCGGGCGUUCCGAGGUCGGACGCCGACUUUGGCUGUUCAGGGUCGGCGAUUGUGCGGCUUCUUGGGGGCAUUCGUGUCACUUGGGGAAAAAUCUUAUUCCCCCAACACU